CCUACGUGAGGCAGCAGUAGGGAAUAUUGCUCAAUGGGGGAAACCCUGAAGCAGCAACGCCGCGUGGAGGAUGAAGGUUUUCGGAUUGUAAACUCCUUUUGUUAGAGAAGAUAAUGACGGUAUCUAACGAAUAAGCACCGGCUAACUCCGUGCCAGCAGCCGCGGUAAUACGGAGGGUGCAAGCGUUACUCGGAAUCACUGGGCGUAAAGAGCGCGGAGGCGGGAAAGCAAGUCAGAUGUAAAUUCCUAAGGUUUAACCAUCAAACUGUAUUUGAAAAUGUUAUUCUAGAGUAUGUGAGAGGUAGGUGGAAUUUUUGGGGUAGGAGUAAAAUCCGUAGAGAUUAAAAGGAAUACUCAUUGCGAAGGC
rnacentral:rRNA from 1 species